rnacentral:rRNA from 1 species
GACGAACGCUGGCGGCGUGCUUAACACAUGCAAGUCGAACGGAAAGGCCCUGCUUUUGUGGGGUGCUCGAGUGGCGAACGGGUGAGUAACACGUGAGUAACCUGCCCUUGACUUUGGGAUAACUUCAGGAAACUGGGGCUAAUACCGGAUAGGAGCUCCUGCUGCAUGGUGGGGGUUGGAAAGUUUCGGCGGUUGGGGAUGGACUCGCGGGUUAUCAGCUUGUUGGUGGGGUAGUGGCUUACCAAGGCUUUGACGGGUAGCCGGCCUGAGCGGGUGGCCGGCCACAUUGGGACUGAGAUACGGCCCAGACUCCUACGGGAGGCAACAGUGGGGAAUAUUGCACAAUGGGCGGAAGCCUGAUGCAGCAACGCCGCGUGCGGGAUGACGGCCUUCGGGUUGUAAACCGCUUUCGCCUGUGACGAAGCGGGAGUGACGGUAAUGGGUAAAGAAGCACCGGCUAACUACGUG